UAAUUUAAAGUCUAGCCUGCCCAAUGAUAAUUGAAUGGCCGCGGUAUUUUGACCGUGCUAAGGUAGCAUAAUCAAUAGUUUUUUAAUUGAAAGCUGGAAUGAAGGGUUGGAUAAAAAAAUAACUGUUUUUAUUUAAUUUAAUUAGAAUUUUAUAUUUAAGUUAAAAAGCUUAAAUUUUGUUAAAAGACGAGAAGACCCUAUAGAGUUUAAUAAAUAAUUAUAUUAUUAUAUUUAGAAUUAACUUUAUUAGUUAUAUUAUUUAUUUAAUUGGGGUGAUUAAAAAAUUCAAAUAACUUUUUUUAUAUUAUAACAUUUAUAGAUGAAUAUUUGAUCCAUGGUUAAUGAUUAAAAGAUAAAAUUACCUUAGGGAUAACAGCGUUAUUUUUUUUUAGAGUUCAAAUCGAAAGAAAAGAUUGCGACCUCGAUGUUGGAUUAAAAUAAAUUUUUGGUGUAGAAGCUAAAAUAUUAGGUCUGUUCGACCUUUAAAAUUUUACAU
rnacentral:rRNA from 1 species